rnacentral:rRNA from 1 species
CAUAUCAAUAAGCGGAGGAAAAGAAACUAACAAGGAUUCCCUUAGUAACGGCGAGUGAAGCGGGAAAAGCUCAAAUUUAAAAUCUGGCAGGUUAUCCUGUCCGAGUUGUAGUUUCAAGAAGCGUUUUCGGUGCGCGUCUGGGUAUAAGUUCUUUGGAACAGGACAUCAUAGAGGGUGAGAAUCCCGUUUAUGACCCGGAACAGCGUACUAUGUGAUACGUUUUCUAAGAGUCAGGUUGUUUGGGAAUGCAGCCUAAAAUGGGUGGUAAAUUUCAUCUAAAGCUAAAUAUUGGCGAGAGACCGAUAGCGAACAAGUACCGUGAGGGAAAGAUGAAAAGAACUUUGAAAAGAGAGUUAAACAGUACGUGAAAUUGUUGAAAGGGAAACGUUUGAAAUCAGUCGUGCGGGCGGGUAAUCAGCUUGGCCUUUGGGUCUUGUGCACUUACUCGUCUCGCAGGCCAGCGUCGGUUUUGUUUGCCGGAUAAAUGCCAAGGGAAUGUAGCUCAACCUUUUACGAGGAGGGGUGUUAUAGCCCUGGUAAAUACGGCGGUCGGGACCGAGGUCUGCAGUUGAUGCCUCUCGGGGCUGGGGACUCCAUCGCUCAUUCGCACCCGCACCUAGACAGCUUGCUGACUAGGUGUGUGGUCUGUGGGUGACACGGUGGGCUACCACACAUCGACUUAGGUCGCUGGCGUAAUGGUUUUAAAUGACCCGUCUUGAAACACGGACCAAGGAGUCUAACAUAUAUGCGAGUGUUUGGGUGGCAAACCCAUGCGCGUAAUGAAAGUGAAUGUAGGUGAGAUCCUCACGGAGCAUCAUCGACCGAUC